GUGGGGAAUAUUGGACAAUGGGCGCAAGCCUGAUCCAGCCAUGCCGCGUGGAUGAUGAAGGCCUUAGGGUUGUAAAGUCCUUUUAACGGGGAAGAUAAUGACGGUACCCGUAGAAUAAGCCCCGGCUAACUUCGUGCCAGCAGCCGCGGUAAUACGAAGGGGGCUAGCGUUGCUCGGAAUCACUGGGCGUAAAGCGCACGUAGGCGGCUUUCUAAGUCAGGGGUGAAAUCCUGGAGCUCAACUCCAGAACUGCCUUUGAUACUGGAGAGCUUGAGUUCGGGAGAGGUGAGUGGAACUGCGAGUGUAGAGGUGAAAUUCGUAGAUAUUCGCAAGAACACCAGUGGCGAAGGCGGCUCACUGGCCCGAUACUGACGCUGAGGUGCGAAAGCGUGGGGAGCAAACAGGAUUAGAAACCCCAGUAGUCC
rnacentral:rRNA from 1 species